CUCCUGAGAAGUUGGGGAGAGAAGAUGGAGUUUGAUUAUGCCAGGGAUGUCCUGCCACAGAGGCCUGCGGCUGCUUGGCUGGACCUGGUCAGUCCUGCAUUAGUCCCAUCAUCCCUUGAAUGAGUGUGAAGAACAGAACAGAUGGAAAAUGCCAAAGUGACCAAAUCCCUCUAUCUGCAGGUGAGUCAUGUCAUCUGAGAUACCUCUGAAGUGAAGCUGGAAGGGCCUCAGGACUCAGAUGCAAAACAUGACUCAUGUGAUCUUGCACCAAGGAAAAUAGAGAUCACUUAACGGGACUUCCCAGAUUCAGCUUCUGUUUGUCCCUAGUGAGGCAGUUUGCUCUUUGGGACAUGAACAGUAACAAAGACUGGAAGUGAAUUUUACUACCUGUUCUUACUUACAUAAAUCACUUUACAUUCCUAUGAAUGAAGGACCACAUCACUGUAGUAUCUGUGAGGACCAUUUUGCUUGGUCAGAUUAUACUUCAUUUUUAAAGUACUAACUGCAGAUAGAGUUUUCUGGAAGUGUUUUGCACUUCCAAAGUUCUGUUUGACUUUCUCCAAAUACCUUGUAACAAAGGUUUUGACAGACAGAAUGAAUUACAACACUGUCACACACACCUCCAGCCUCUGCCUCUCCUGUUCUCACCAGCCACCUCUGUGGUCUGUCCCUUGCUCUCUACUCCAGCCACAUCCACUUUCUGCUUCUCCAACCCCAGCCUCCACAUCUGACUCCCUGGGAAGCCAGAGCCCACAGUGGAACAUGCAGCUGGUCCAGCGGUGUGGGCCUGCAUGGAGCUGUUUUCCUGGCAGCUCAGAUCCAGUCAAGUGGCCUCAUCUGCCCCAGGCACUCCUCCACACACCGUGAUCUUGGGCAGCUCUGCUGCUGCACAUUGCACCAUCAUAGCCACACAAGUCCAAUAAUAAUGGGCCUAUCUUGUCUUAUACUCUGGAAGGAGUAUGGGCAUAAUGUCUGCAAUAAAUAUCCUGCAACUACUCAUCAGUGGAUUUCAACUCUAUCAUCUAGAUCAUGAGUUAUGCCAUAUGAAGACUGAAGAGACAAAUAGCACAUACUAACACUUGAUUCUAUCUCUGACCUACAAAGAGGAAUAUGCUGAAGAGACAGAUACUCAAGUCCCAAUAGAAAUACCAGAGAUCAACUGAAACAAUUUAACCUGCCUGUUGCUUGUGGAUCAACUGCUUUCUAAGUAACCAAAACUUUAUACAAUGGCAGCAAAAACUGAAAUAAAUUGCUUACUGGGACCUUCUUA